rnacentral:rRNA from 1 species
UAGUCCACGCGGUAAACGAUGGAUGCUCGCUGUUGGUAUGAAUGUAUCAGCGGCCAAGCGAAAGCGUUAAGCAUCCCACCUGGGGAGUACGCCGGCAACGGUGAAACUCAAAGGAAUUGACGGGGGCCCGCACAAGCGGAGGAACAUGUGGUUUAAUUCGAUGAUACGCGAGGAACCUUACCCGGGCUUGAAUUGCAGAGGAAAGAUCCAGAGAUGGUGAUGCCCUUCGGGGCCUCUGUGA